GCCUAGCCCGUUAAAAACUCACCACCUCCUCUAUCGGGUCCUCUUGCCUUCUGAGACGGCCCCCACUCUCUCUCUGUAAAUCUACUUCUUACCUAUCACUUUGCCUCUUGCUGAAUUCCUUCCACAGGAGACAUAAGGAACCGGGACUUCAGGAAGUACUGGAACCAGUACUUUGUGGGAGAGAAAACUUCCACAGGGCGAUAGGAAAGGACUGGAUUGGACCAGCGUCUCCUUAAGAGAACUUUCUAUGAAUCUGGAAACUGACCCACAGAGGGGAUGCAUCUUGUCCACCACCUCACAGCUCACUGGGGUCACGACUUAGCCUGGCACCCAGCGCCCCUGACUCUUGUGCUGGCGAUUCUGCUUCUUCCAUAUCCUACGAGGGGCUUUUGGACGGUGAGUGCUGUUCAAAGAUGGAGCAGGCUUCUGCUGGGUUUUGUCUUGGUGAGUGGUGAGACCUCCAUCAUUGGCAGUAUGGAAGACAGACUGGAUCACCUCUUGACCUCUUGGAAGGGGAUUUGAAAUUCUGUGGAGUGAUGUGGCUGUUCCCUCAUCCAUCCACCCUGGCCUGCUGAUCUUCAGAUUCUCCCAGGAAAUGUGGACACAGGCACAGAGAAGAUGAUGCCAUGCGACAAUGGAGACAGUCUGGAGUGAUGCAUCGACAAGUCAAGGAAUGCCAAGGGGUGCUGGCAGCCACCAAACACCAAGAGAGAGGCAUGCAACAGAUUCUCCCAUAGAGCCUUCAGAGAGACAUGGCCCAGCUGACCCUUUGAUUCCAGACUUUUUGCUUCCAGAACUGAGACCCAUAGAAAUUCAUGGAAGGAAUGACUGAAUGAAUGAAAAGCUACAACCUGUACUAGGCUUAUGCUGGUCCCUCCAAAUUAGAUCCAGCCCAGCCUGCUGAGUGCUGCCCGGAGAAGGACUGUCCAAAUCAGUGCAAAAGGCACCUCUCAGCUUCCGUCAGCUUGUUCAUCCAGGAGAGGCUCCAUCUUCGAGGUCAGCUUACCCUCUGGAGAGAGAGGGAUCCCGAAUCAGAGAUGAAGCACCUUACGAGAAUGACGCCUGGAUGGAACACAAUAAGGAGAGGAAAGGGAGAGAGACAGACCUCAUCACUACAAGGUUAUUAGGCUUCAAGACAGCAAAUUUGAGAGAAUUAAGAAAUCUAAUCAGCCUGGUGCACUAAGAGGGAAGUUGCAAACUCCCGGGUGUGGAAGAAAGCCGGAGUAUCCUGAGGGAGAUCCUAAUUAAAGCACCGCCGAUUACAAUUCCUCUGAAAAAGGAAAGUGAAAGGACCAAGAAACAUCUGCUGUGGAUUCAUGAAGGACUGCUCAAGGAUGCAGAGUGUGAGAAAAACUCUUGACAGCGCUGAAGAGGCACAGCGCCUGUUUGUUCUCCAUCGGGCAAAGCUGGUGGAGAUGGGGCCUGGCAAUGCAGAGGCUGUGGUUUAGGAUUGUUUUAGCUGAUGGGGCAUCGUAAAAGGGAAAGGAGACAAGACUCCCUGUGCAGCCCAGAAUGGCCAAAUCAUCCCUGCAGUUCUCCUCGGGUUGCCUGGCAACCCCCUCUCAAGGGUUGGCUCCGGGCCCGUUCCCUGCUAUAUCCCUAAAAAGAAGUUUAGACCUGACUCGCGUAAGUGCUCAGAUUUCCUAGAUGUACCCUUGGAAUUGCUGAGCUGGAAGAGAACUCAGAAGUCGUACAACCCAAUCUCCCACAAAUAUAGAAACAGAAAGUGUAAAAGCCCAGAGCCACACCCAUGGAGGUGUAGCUGAAGGCCUAUGCCAUCGCCACAGCAACGCUGGAUCUGAGCUGCAUCUGCAGUCGAUGCCUCAGCUUGUGAAAACAUGGGAUCCUAAACCCACUGGACGAGGGCGAGGAUUGAACCUUCAUCCUCAUGGACACUAGUUGGGUUCUUAAUCUGCUGAGCCACAGUGAGAACUGAAGAGACCCUAUCUCACAACGGAAGCCGAUAAUGAUGAGUGCUCACUUCUUCAAAUUCUCUUGUAUUUAUGGCAAGAGCAAAUGAACCCCUUUAAGGAUUUUCCUCCCUAAUGAAGAGAGAUGCCUCAGUGUCACACAGCUGCCUCUAGGUUUUUGUGGCUUCUCAAAAUUCUUCUGAAGACAGGAUGCGAAACACAUGCUCCAAGGAACCUUCCUCCCACAGAGACCCUUGAUCUGUCUUGGACACAGAGAUGAAGUGUCUGGGGAAUGUAAGCAGGGCACAGAGACAGCAUCUGGACAGUCCCUCCUCCUGGAAGGAGAAAGGCACCUCCAGUUAAUGAGGACAUGGCAGCAAGAUACUGGACACAGGUAAGCUCCCCUCAAACAUCUAAAAUCAUCAUUUAGGAGGGACGCUCAUAACACACAUCCUUUGUCAAAAUUGGGAAAAUUGGAAACCUAUCAAGGCAAACAAACCUCGCAUGGGAUGUCCUCACCCAGAAUGAAUCAGUUGACAUUGUAUUGCUCCUGAUCACAUGCUUUGUUUUCUGCAUGUAGAUAUACGUAGACCUUAAAAAUAUUUCAAGCAAGAUUGGAAUUAUUCUGGUAAUGCAUAGUUUUGUAUUCUGCAUUUUAAUUUCAGCUUCUCGCUAGAGUAUUUUUACGUGCUAAUAUACUUUGAAACUAUGUAGGUUGUUUAUCUGUGAAGCAAAUAUCAUUUACAUCAUGCUGACUGUAUGGCCGUUUUACAUAUAUUAACUCAUUUAUUUCUCACAGAGAGUCUAUGAGGUAAGUAAUUUUCUUUCAUUUUUUUUUUAUUGUCGUAAAGUAUACAUAGCAUUUACCAUUUCAACCAUUUCUUUUCCUUCUUACAGCCGCACCUGCAGCACAUGGAAGUUCCCAGGGCUGGGGUCAAAUCAGAGAGGCAGCUGCAGGCCUGAGCCUCACCUGUGACCUGAGCCUCACCUGUG